CGUCGCAAGAAAAACCCUAGCCCGUCCCCGUCCGCAUCCCUGCCGCCGCCGCCGCCCUCCCAAUUCCCUCUGCUCCUGCUGCUUCCCUCCACCUCUCCCUCUUCCAUGCCGUCAGGGGCGCCCCUCAAGCCCCACCUCAUCGGUUCCUCACCCCGGGCUCCUUCUCCCCCGCCCAUGCUGCUCUCUGUGCGCGGCAACCGGACAGAGGAGGAAGAUCAGGAGGGCCGCAGGGAUGAAGGAGGAGGUAGAGCCGUUCACGUCGCCGCCGCCGUCUUCCUCGCCCUCAGCGUGCGGGCCGCAGCGCUCCACCUCCUUGGCAUCUCCGUCUGGUCUGCAGAUGUUGAGAAAUAAGGGACGGAAGCAAGAUGUGAGGAUGUGGAGACGCUAUGUUGCCUCCAUCCCUGGCCUUCUUCUUGGCGUGUACUCGUUGGUCAUGCUCCGCUUCCUCCACUCCCACCUCUCGGCCUCGACACCUCUGCGUAUUUCUCCAUCACUCUAUUGCAGUGUUGUUAUCUUUUCAGGUAUGUGCUGAGAAUCCUAGGUGCGGCGACCUCAACAAUGUCCCAUCGUUGCCGGCGGUCGCCUAUAUGCUCCUGCGGAAUAAGUUCUUCCUGACCACCUCGACACUCACCGCCGCCGAGGAAUCCAGGGACAAGACUACCACCAAGUUGCUCAUCCGCCUUCAGGUGCAGACGGUGGGCUUUGCGUGGUCGAACCUAAGGUAGUUCCUUUCAAGGGCUAAUACCAAUGAGGUGUACCAGGUGCGCUGGCUCAUGCCACCGCAUCCACCGACAGCAAGGUGGAGAAGGAGGCGCUCAAGGAGAGGGAGGCCAGGAUGGUGCUUGUGUCUAUACGGUGACAGCGUGGACCUCUUCUUCGCAGAGAGGAUGAAGUUGCAUGUCCCAAAUCGUUAGGGGCUAGGUUGUUUCCGCGUCGAGGAGUUCAUUUUGGCAGACGGAACUUUUGAAAGCUAGAAUAUUUUGGUGAAAUGUGAAGGGCUGCUUCAGUUUACCCAUAGUGUUAUUUCUAGAUGAACAAGGAGUGGUGACAUUGUGAGAUGGUGAAGCCAGAGCAUUGUCGAUGAAACUAGCCGAGGAGGAAUUGUGAGUUCACCUCCCUCUCCUUUGCAUCGGUUGUAUUUUCUCUCCUCUUUGUGCCCAUAUAUGUUAUGUUUCUCCGGGUCGGUGUGAAGUGAGCACGCAGUUUGUCAUCGUUCGUCAAUCGUCUGUCCUGUUCGUCUUCACUUCGUUCGAUGUGCCUUUCCGUUGCGGAGGUGUGUUUUGUUGUUUUAUCCUGUUGCACUUGUUAAUAUGAAAUCACGUCUUAAAGGAUUCAGAAGGUUAUACUUCACUUUAGUUAUUGUGUUCUUAAGAUUUCUAUACGAACUUUACUCCUUUCUACAAGACUAGCCAUCAAAUUAUGAUAACUGAACCAUUGAAAAACUAUAGAAGGAUUAGUGGCAAUAAAACCUUAGGUUAGUUCUACCCUUUAUUUUGUUAUAAUUCCUCUGUUCUGGUAAUGAAAAAGAUGACCACGCAGAUUAAAGGUUUAGAAACUAUAAAAGAAUCUGAACAUGAAGCUUAAUCUGCUGAAUUUUCACUUCAGUAGUCCCUCGGCUUCGAGAGUAUACACAAUAUUUGAUUGUUGCUUCUCAAUGAUGCUACCAAAAAUUGAACACCCUGGCGUCGGAGAGACGGACCAGGAGGCCGAGCAGUCCGUGGUAUCGCCGCCGUCGUCCUCAUCCCUCGUGCGUGGUGACGGAGAGAGACGAUCCGUCUGGAGCUCGAGUAUAGUUGACCGCGUCUCUUUUCUUUCUCUUCUUUCGCACGUCUCUUUUUCUGUAGCUGUUUGAAGGCUUAUGAUGCAUGGUCACUGACUGUAUUGGAGAUGUAACAUGGUUUGUUAGGUUCAGCCAUUGUGCAAUCUGCACUAACAGGCAUGUGCCCGGCUAAGAGCAAUCUGUAGGAUAUAAUCUAGGAUUUGCUGCAAUUAUCUGCUUCAAUUUAUAGGUAUAAGUACUUCAAAUUCCUUCAAUGGUUGGGAGACAUAUGAAUUUGAUUACACUACUAUUUCAAUUACUGGAUGGUUAUUUUCAGUGUUAUUUAUGACCAUUUCUGUACUUAACAUGGUAUCAAGGUUACAGCCGAAUGUAUCUUGUACCAUACCACCCAUGGAUCUAAGUACAAAUUAUAAUGAGCAAUGAUUUCUCAGGCUAAAAAAUUUCUGCUAUCUCACUCAAGAGCAAUAAUAUACCCACUGAAGACUGACAGAAAACUGUAACCUUACUUUGAGCAGUGCAUCUGACAAUAACAGUUGUCCUCUCUUUUUACAUGUUUUAAAAAUCUGCAUAUUUUCUUGUAACGAUUUCGGUAACAAAAUUGAAUGGCGCGGUGUAUGCUCACAUAUCCCCGCUCUUACAAGCUACCAUAAGGCAUGUUUCAGACUGUUAGUGUAUACUAUAUUGCUUACUCUGACAUUGGAUUUUGUGUUAACUGCUAUAUUAUAUAUUUUUGUUUCUUCUCAGGAGCCGCCUCCUCUUUUACUGAUAAAAACUGGUUGGAGGGGAUCUGCUUUUUCCCCUGAUCUUCUCCGCAAUUGGGAGCCUGAGCCAUGGCUGACCCAUUCAUUGCUGGUCAGGAAAACCUGUCCGCCUCUUCUUAUUUUUCCUCUGUUGUUCUUCUGUUGGACGAAGGGGUUACUAACGUAAUCAGGUUGGUUUCUUAGUGCCUACCUCCUUGCCAGAUUUGGUGAUGAUGCCAAAGGAAACAAUGGGUUGUUGGGAUACCCGGAAUUAUCUUCUAUCAGCACUUGCAUUCAAAACCCAAACUGACCUUUAGUUUAAUGGAACGUCUCGGCAGCACCCAAAUAUUCACACAUAUUGGUGAUAGUCUGAUAGGCCUUUUGGGAUUUGCAGUGUAUGUGGAUCUUGGCAGAGCAGAGUCACUUAACCCCGUGAGUCCAUUAUAUUAUGCAUGUAGUGAAUGCAUGCAUCCAGUCAGUGAAUAAUGGUUGUAACGAUAAGUUUGUGUAUUUGUUUUAUUGAUCAAUGUGUACGCCGCACGCUGAGUAACCUAACUUCUGAAAGUUAUGGCUGUAGUUACAAGUAUGCACUAGCAUAUUGGUUUGUUUUCCGAUUCUGGUGGGAUUAUGUCUUCAUUGUAUUUCCCAACAUUUAUAACUGGUUACUCUUAAUUGAUUAAUUGCUUUGCAAAAUUUUCUGUGAUGAACUACGAUGAUGAAAGUUGUACUGGGUAAGUUAGUUUUCCUGAGAACUUACCAUGUGGGUCAAAUUAGUAUUAAGUUAAUCAAGUUGUUUGAAAUGAUAUUAGCAGACAUGACUCGCUUCAUGUUGGUUCUGAAUUCUACUCAUUGUCAGUUCUCUUUUAGUCGUUUUGUUUCAACGAGUGCCUACAAGGUAUCUGCGGAGGUUAACUGAAUUAUUUUCCCAUUUGAUGUGUGACAUCCGUAACUAGCUACUAGAGAUAAAUUACUAGAUUAUAUCACUAUGUUGAAGCUCUCUUAAAUUAUCAUGCUCUGUCCAUGAGUUGGAUCACUUGUGUCUUCUGGAUAGUUGUUGCUUGAGUUUAAUUUUACAUUGUGCUUAUGAGAUGAUAGUUAUACCUUACGUGAGAUCCAUCAUUCAUAUUGUUUCUUCACACUAUUUUUGUUAAAAUCUACAUUUCUUCUGUACAUGAAGUCAAAUAGUCAAUAGUUGUUGGAUCAUUCAGGUUUUCCUCUUCUUUUUUGUACUAUAUGAAGUGCGUAUAUUUUUAAUCAUUACACCGAUUUUGCCAACAGUGCCGGCAUACAUGUCCCUUUCAUCAUUGCCAUCAUCCUAGCAUCUAGAGGUAGAUCAAACGUUCGAUAAAAGAUCCCAGGCCUCACUUUCUCUCGUCAAAUUUGAGAACAUUUUUUUAGGUCUGUCAUCUAUUAUUAUGGUCAUAAUUUGAUCUCUUGAUAGAAGUUAAAUGAAGGGGGAACACCUGUUUGGAGGAGGGAAACAAGUACAUAAUAUUUUUUUUCUUUCCUUCAUUUGUGCCCUCUAAAUACUGUCAUUUCUUUGGCAGGUUAGAGAGUACCAGGGAUAUAACAUCAUUUUGAAAAUCCGAAUUUGGCUAAUCCAUGUGUACUGGACCUGUUUUUGAAGUUGUUCUGUCUCAUUUUUGUGAAGUGAACAUGCUUUUGCUAGCUGAACUUUACAAAGAGCUUAGCCUCUUCAUCCAUCGUGCACUGGUCUCUCUCUCCACCUCAUCCUUUUCUUUGGUCUCUAGGUGGGGCUGUGCAUUUGCUUGGAUUUUGUGGUGGCCUGGUUGGGAAAAGGAAGGUGCAUCUACUUUUGUUUGCUUCAGUUCUCCCUUUUGGAUUGAGUUGUUGCUAGCUUGCCAUGAAGUUCCUUUACUUGAUAAGAAAUUUUAGUUUGAAAUAUGUGGUCAUUGGGAGUUCAGAAAAGGUGGCAAGCAGGGAAGUCACUACUUUGUACUUGUAUUGCUUCCUUUUACUCAAGUACCUUCAUACAAGAUACUAAGUAUUUUUCAGUUUUUCCUCA